rnacentral:tRNA from 1 species
GCGUCUGUAGCUCAGUGGAUAGAGCGUUGGACUCCGACUCCAAAGGUCACAGGUUCGACUCCUGCCAGACGCUCCA